GAUGAACGCUGGCGGCGUGCCUAAUACAUGCAAGUCGAACGGGGAGUAGCAAUACUUCUAGUGGCGAACGGGUGAGUAACGCGUUGGUGACCUGCCCGAAGCGUGGGAUACCAAUCCGAAAGGAUUGCUAAUACCGCAUGGAGUUCUCGAGAUUAGAGACUUGGGAACGAAAGGAGACAUUCACUUCGGGAGGGGCCUGCGUCCCAUCAGCUAGUUGGUGAGGUAACGGCUCACCAAGGCGAUGACGGGUAGGGGACCGUGAGAGGGUGGGCCCCCCACCAAUGGAACUGAAACAACGGUCCAUACACCUACGGGUGGGCAGCAGUA
rnacentral:rRNA from 1 species